UACAGAGGUGUCAAGCGUUGCUCGGUGUCACUGGGCUUAAAGGGCGCGUAGGCGGCUUGGUCAGUCCCGUGUGAAAUCCCUCGGCUCAACUGAGGAACUGCACGGGAAACUGCCUGGCUUGAGUUCGGGAGAGGGAAGCGGAAUUCCGGGUGUAGCGGUGAAAUGCGUAGAUAUCCGGAGGAACACCGGUGGCGAAGGCGGCUUCCUGGACCGACACUGACGCUGAGGCGCGAAAGCUAGGGGAGCAAACGGG
rnacentral:rRNA from 1 species